AACUAUACGGUGAAACUGCGAAUGGCUCAUUAAAUCAGUUAUCGUUUAUUUGAUAGUACCUUACUACUUGGAUAACCGUGGUAAUUCUAGAGCUAAUACAUGCUAAAAACCCCAACUUCGGAAGGGGUGUAUUUAUUAGAUAAAAAACCAACGCCCUUCGGGGCUCCUUGGUGAUUCAUAAUAACUAAACGAAUCGCAUGGCCUUGCGCCGGCGAUGGUUCAUUCAAAUUUCUGCCCUAUCAACUUUCGAUGGUAGGAUAGUGGCCUACCAUGGUAUCAACGGGUAACGGGGAAUUAGGGUUCUAUUCCGGAGAGGGAGCCUGAGAAACGGCUACCACAUCCAAGGAAGGCAGCAGGCGCGCAAAUUACCCAAUCCCGACACGGGGAGGUAGUGACAAUAAAUACUGAUACAGGGCUCUUUUGGGUCUUGUAAUUGGAAUGAGUACAAUUUAAAUCCCUUAACGAGGAACAAUUGGAGGGCAAGUCUGGUGCCAGCAGCCGCGGUAAUUCCAGCUCCAAUAGCGUAUAUUAAAGUUGUUGCAGUUAAAAAGCUCGUAGUUGAACCUUGGGCCUGGCUGGCCGGUCCGCCUCACCGCGUGUACUGGUCCGGCCGGGCCUUUCCUUCUGGGGAGCCGCAUGCCCUUCACUGGGCGUGUCGGGGAACCAGGACUUUUACUUUGAAAAAAUUAGAGUGUUCAAAGCAGGCCUUUGCUCGAAUACAUUAGCAUGGAAUAAUAGAAUAGGACGUGCGGUUCUAUUUUGUUGGUUUCUAGGACCGCCGUAAUGAUUAAUAGGGAUAGUCGGGGGCAUCAGUAUUCAAUUGUCAGAGGUGAAAUUCUUGGAUUUAUUGAAGACUAACUACUGCGAAAGCAUUUGCCAAGGAUGUUUUCAUUAAUCAGUGAACGAAAGUUAGGGGAUCGAAGACGAUCAGAUACCGUCGUAGUCUUAACCAUAAACUAUGCCGACUAGGGAUCGGGCGAUGUUAUCAUUUUGACUCGCUCGGCACCUUACGAGAAAUCAAAGUCU
rnacentral:rRNA from 1 species